rnacentral:rRNA from 1 species
CCUACGGGUUGCAGCAGUGAGGAAUAUUGGUCAAUGGACGCAAGUCUGAACCAGCCAUGCCGCGUGCAGGAAGACGGCUCUAUGAGUUGUAAACUUCUUUUGUACGAGGGUAAACUCAGAUACGCGCAUCUGUCUGAAAGUAUCUUACGAAUAAGGAUCGGCUAACUCCGUGCCAGCAGCCGCGGUAAUACGGAGGGUUCUAGCGUUAUCCGGAUUUAUUGGGUUUAAAGGGUGCGUAGGCGGUCUGAUAAGUUAGAGGUGAAAUCCCGGGGCUCAAAUUCGGACUUGCCUCUGAUACUGGUCGGCUAGAGAGUAGUUGCGGUAGGCGGAAUGUAUGGUGUAGCGGUGAAAUGCUUAGAGAUCAUACAGAACACCGAUUGCGAAGGCAGCUUACCAAGCUACUUCUGACGCUGAGGCACGAAAGCGUGGGGAGCAAACAGGAUUAGAUACCCCUGUAGUC